rnacentral:lncRNA from 1 species
UCCCAUGAGUAAGACCAGUGGUUGCUUUGAUUAGUGAAAUUUCAGCUUCUGAAAGACCACCCGCAUAGAAUGAAGACUUUUGGAGACUAAUGGCAAAACCAGAACGCUGCUCAAAAUCACGAAGAACCUGAAGCACAUUCUGAACUGAAGAGAGAGAACCAUCCAUGAAGAUGAGGAGAUCAUCAGCAAAACAAAGGUGGGUUAGUUUUGCUGUGUCACAGUUGUGAUGAUACUUAAACUUUCCAUCCUUUGCAGCCUUAUUCAACAUUAGAGAGAGUAUGUUCAUGGUUAUCACAAAAAGAUAGGGAGAUAGAGGAUCUCCCUGACGGAGCCCUCUCUUCCCUUUGAAAUAACCAUGAACCAUACCAUUAUAACCAACUGUGAAGUUAGUAGUGCAGAUGCAAGCCUGGAGCCAUCUCAGAUACUGAUCAGGAAUCAAAAUCCCCUUAAGACAACCGAAUAGAAAAUCCCAUGACAGAGUGUCAAAAGCUUUAGCAAUGUCCACCUUGAGCACAAUUCUUUUUGGUCCAGUCAUUUUAUGAUAGCCAUUGACAAUCUCAGCUGCAAGAAUGGUGUUCUCCAGAAGAAGUCUGUCCUUGACAAAAGCUGUUUGGUUUGGGAGAAUGAGAGAAGGAAGUAGCGGCUUUAACCUGGAGACAAGUAGCCUAGAGAUUACUUUGUAGAGAGUAUUCAAACACGAGAUUGGGCGGUAGUCGACAAUUUGAGAAGCUCCUGGACGCUUUGGCACUAGUGUAAGAAUGGUGGCAUUUGUUGAGGCAGGCAGAAAAGAAGAAAUGAAAAAGUGUCUAAUGGAAGCAGUGACCUCAGGUCCAAGAGAGCCCCAAGCUGCUUUGUAGAAACCAGAAGUUAACCCAUCAGGGCCAGGAGCUUUGUUUGGGUUCAGUUUAAACAUCACCUUAGUAAUCUCUGAGACGCAGGGAAGAGCCAUCAUGGUUUGAGAUUGAACCAGAGAGCAUCUGAAGGGAUUCAAAGACUGGAACCAAUCUUGAGAUGACCAAAUUGAUGGAGGAGGCAAGUGAUCCGGGGCCAGAAUGGACAUAAAGUGGGUGAUUGCAUGAUGGCUCAUAGCUAGAGGAUCAACAAUAAGGUCACCUGAGCUGAGAAGGAAAGAUCUGAUGGUAUUGAAGCUGGCUCUUGACAGGCAUAUUUUGUGAAAAUAUGAGGUAUUUAAAUCCCCUUCCUUCAACCAGUUAACACGGGACUUUUGCUUGAAAUAGCUUUCUUCAAUGUCUCUAAAGAAAUUCCACUUUUCAUGAAGGUCUCUUUCAAGCUGGAAAUUAGAAUGUGAUGGAUUCUGAAAAGCUUGCACCUGCAAAGUCAAUAACAAACU